AACGAACGCUGGCGGCAGGCCUAACACAUGCAAGUCGAACGCCCUAGCAAUAGGGAGUGGCGCACGGGUGCGUAACGCGUGGGAAUAUGCCCUUCACUGCGGAAUAACGUUUGGAAACGAACGCUAAUACCGCAUAAUGACUCCGGUCCAAAGAUUUAUCGGUGAAGGAUUAGCCCGCGUUAGAUUAGCUAGUUGGUGAGGUAAUGGCUCACCAAGGCGACGAUCUAUAGCUGGUCUGAGAGGAUGAUCAGCCACACUGGGACUGAGACACGGCCCAGACUCCUACGGGAGGCAGCAGUGAGGAAUAUUGGACAAUGGGCGCAAGCCUGAUCCAGCCAUGCCGCGUGAGUGAAGAAGGCCUUCGGGUUGUAAAGCUCUUUCUAGAUGUGAAGAUAAUGACGGUAGCAUCAGAAGAAGCCCCGGCUAAAUUACGUGCCAGCAGCCGCGGUAAU
rnacentral:rRNA from 1 species